GGGCNAAGCCUGACGCAGCGACGCCGCGUGGGGGAUGAAGGCCUUCGGGUUGUAAACCCCUUUCAGCAGGGACGAAGCGAAAGUGACGGUACCUGCAGAAGAAGCGCCGGCUAACUACGUGCCAGCAGCCGCGGUAACACGUAGGGCGCAAGCGUUGUCCGGAAUUAUUGGGCGUAAAGAGCUCGUAGGCGGUCCGCUACGUCCGCUGUGAAAACCUAGGGCUUAACCCUGGGCUUGCAGUAGAUACGGGCAGACUAGAGGUAGGUAGGGGAGAAUGGAAUUCCCGGUGUAGCGGUGAAAUGCGCAGAUAUCGGGAGGAACACCGGUGGCGAAGGCGGUUCUCUGGGCCUUACCUGACGCUGAGGAGCGAAAGCGUGGGGAGCAAACAGGAUUAGAUACCCUGGUAGUCCACGCCGUAAACGUUGGGCGCUAGGUGUGGGGUCCUUCCACGGAUUCCGUGCCGCAGCUAACGCAUUAAGCGCCCCGCCUGGGGAGUACGGCCGCAAGGCUAAAACUCAAAAAAAUUGACGGA
rnacentral:rRNA from 1 species